UAAGUAUACAUCCUCCAUAAUACCUCCAUAAUGUCUAAACAGUGCAGUUUAAACUCCAAUAAAUGACACAAAACUCUCAUGGUGUUUUUUUUUCUUUUCUUUCCCUGAGCAGUGUCAUCUAAACUCCACCCAAAGCGGCAGCCAUUCAAUAGAGAAGCCUUCCACUUUCAAUGGUCUGAGCUCAGGCCAAUCACAGCGUCCCCUGCCCCCCCUUGGCUCCCAGGCCUUCAGCCAACCGCAGCAGCCCUCGUUCGACACGUGACUCUAUGUGCUGCUGUCCAUCAACUGCUUCAUAUAUAGUGCAUGCAAGAAAAUGUGGAGCAGUUCAAUAACUUGUGCUGUAGCCAGGCUGUGUGCGUGUGUGUGUGUGUGUGUGUGUGGGGGGGGGGCUCAUGCACGUGGGAAUGUGUGUACUUGUUUACCUAUGUAGCACGGAAGGAGAGAGAGAGAGGGAGGGUGAGAUAGAGAAAGGGAGAGAGAGAGAGAUUUGUAAGGCACUUGUAUCUGCAAACUACUGGCUGUGGUCCCACUAGAGCUAGGGAGAUCUGACUGAAAUACAGUGUGAAAGAGUGUGUGUGUGUGUGUGUGUCUGUGUGUCUGUGUGAGUCUGGGAGAGACAGAGACACGCAGGCAGACAGACACAGAGAGAGAGAGAGAGAGAGAGAAAGAGAGAGAGAGAGAGGAACCCGUUCAACCCAUUUCAGCAGCAACUUUUCAGCCUGUCUACUCGAGGUUUCUCCACGAAUAUGGAAGCUUUUCGCUCUCUUGUGUUUGAUCCCCCCCACUGACAUCCAGUCACCGCCGAUUCAUGCUGCCCAACUUUUGGCCACGCUUUAGGCUGACUGUGAAAGAAGCGCAAGGCUCGACGGAGACAGAUGAGAGUUUUGUUGGUAGUUUUGCAGAAGGCGACGAUGAUGACAACUAUGAUGGCGUUCACCGUGUCUGCAGGGCUAUUUAAGGAAACCAAAACCUUUGCAUCACCGCCUCUCCCCGCUCCUGCUGGCUUCUCGUCAACGUCAUUUGAACCUCCACACCGACAACAUGGGUGGCAAAACAUCUUGGCAUGAAGUUGCUUCGCACAGGCCAAGAGAAACACAGAAGCACACACACAUACACACACACACACAGGAUUGUGAUCCUCACAGAACAAAGUUAUACCUAGCUUGUCUUUCUUGCUGUCGAUUAGCAUUACAAAGUUAGCAUUUUCCAUUGUGUGAACCAUCUGUGGGCUGCUGGGGCAGACAUAUAAAACACUGACAGGUCUGACAUCAUAACAGGCUCACGAAAAAAACAUAAUUUAGAUCUGGAUUUAAAUUGUAGACAUUUAUAUAUGUGGUUUGAAUGGGAACCAACAAGUGAGGGACAGAUGAGCUGCUGUGAUUUUCCACUUGUCUGAGUCAAACUGCAGCAACAAAGCCGAAUGAAAAUAAACUGGGUAGCUUGA